UACGUAGGGGGCAAGCGUUGUCCGGAUUUAUUGGGCGUAAAGCGCGUGUAGGCGGCUUGGCAAGUCCGCUGUGAAAACUCGAGGCUCAACCUCGAGAUGUCGAUGGAAACUGCUUGGCUAGAGUCCGGAAGAGGAGUGUGGAAUUCCUGGUGUAGCGGUGAAAUGCGCAGAUAUCAGGAAGAACACCUAUGGCGAAGGCAGCACUCUGGGACGGUACUGACGCUGAGACGCGAAAGCGUGGGGAGCGAACAGG
rnacentral:rRNA from 1 species